UAGUGUAGAGAUGACAGAAAAUGGUUGAGUGAGAGACAUGAAGAAGAAAUGGUCGAGAGGAAUGAAGGAGGUGAGUGAGGGUUUUUUUUUUUUUUAGUUUUGAGAAUGAAAAUUAUUAAAAUAAGAUAAAUAUUUAUCAUUUUUUUUUAAUUGGGACUAGAGUAGGGAUGACAGAGAAAAUGUUGUUGUGAAAGAGAUGAAAAAGAAAGGAUUCAGAGGAAUGAGGGAUGUGGAUAAAGGUUUGGGGUUUCUUUUUUAUUUUUUU
rnacentral:lncRNA from 1 species